AUUGAACGCUGGCGGCAGGCCUAACACAUGCAAGUCGAACGAGUGGCGGACGGGUGAGUAAUGUCUGGGAAACUGCCUGAUGGAGGGGGAUAACUACUGGAAACGGUAGCUAAUACCGCAUACCAUCGGAUGUGCCCAGAUGGGAUUAGCUAGUAGGUGGGGUAAUGGCUCACCAAGGCGACGAUCCCUAGCUGGUCUGAGAGGAUGACCAGCCGCACUGGAAUGGGGACCCGGCCCAAAUCCCUACGGAAGGCGGCAGUGGGGAGUAUUGCACAAUGGGCGAAACCCUGAUGAAGCCAUGCCUGGUGUAUGAAGAGGGCCUUCGGGUUGUAAAGUACUUUCUGGGGGAAGACGUUCCCCGCAGAGAAAGAACCGGCUAAUUCCUUGCCAGCAGCGCGGUAAUAC
rnacentral:rRNA from 1 species